GUACUUUGGUAGAAUUUGAAACCAAUGAACUGGGAUUGCCCAUCCCUUUGGCAGCACAAGAAAGACCGGGUUCCUGAGAAUAAAAGCCCUAUUAUUGAGAAACGAGAGGACAUAAUGAUUGAAACACCUGCAGGCAAAAAGCCAGAGGUAGAGAAGAAUGAAGGGAAACAAGCAUCACCCAGAUCAAUGAGCACUCCCAUCU
rnacentral:misc_RNA from 1 species